rnacentral:sRNA from 1 species
CUUUGUACCUAUAGUUUUCAUUCUUGCAUAUUAAAUUCAGUGAAACUAUCCCAAAAGUAAAUUCUAGAAGAUGUGCUUUAAGAUGGACAUUUUCUAUUUUAUCAUUAUAUGUAAUUACUGAAAUGUUUAAAUUUCACUUUACAGCAACAAAUGGUCAUUCAGAAUGCUUACGGCUAUUAAUAGGAAAUGCAGAACCACAGAAUGCAGUGGAUAUUCAAGAUGGAAAUGGACAGACGCCUCUGAUGCUAUCUGUUCUCAACGGGCACACAGACUGUGUUUACUCAUUGCUGAACAAAGGAGCAAAUGUAGAUGCCAAAGAUAAGUGGGGAAGGACAGCGUUGCAUAGAGGGGCAGUUACAGGCCAUGAAGAAUGUGUAGAUGCAUUACUUCAACAUGGUGCUAAGUGCUUACUUCGGGAUAGCAGGGGCCGGACGCCUAUACACCUGUCUGCUGCCUGUGGACACAUUGGUGUUCUCGGAGCCCUUUUGCAGUCAGCAGCAUCUAUGGAUGCAAAUCCAGCCACAGCAGACAAUCAUGGAUAUACAGCACUUCACUGGGCUUGCUACAAUGGUCACGAGACAUGUGUAGAACUGCUUUUAGAACAGGAAGUUUUCCAGAAAACGGAAGGAAAUGCUUUUAGUCCAUUGCAUUGUGCCGUGAUAAAUGACAACGAAGGUGCUGCUGAGAUGUUAAUUGAUACAUUAGGUGCCAGCAUUGUGAACGCCACAGAUUCAAAAGGAAG